rnacentral:rRNA from 1 species
AACGCGAAGAACCUUACCUCGGCUUGACAUGCACGUGGUACCAACACGUAAGUGAAGGGACCCGCAAGGGAGCGUGCACAGAUGCUGCAUGGCUGUCGUCAGCUCGUGCCGUGAGGUGUUGGGUUAAGUCCCGCAACGAGCGCAACCCUUGCCCUUAGUUGAAUUCUCUAAGGGGACCGCCGGUCUAAACCGGAGGAAGGUGGGGACGAGGUCAAGUCAUCACGGCUCUUACGUCGAGGGCUACACACACGCUACAAUGGCCGGUACAACGGGCUGCGAAGGGGCGACCUGGAGCCAAUCCCACCAAAGCCGGUCUCAGUUCGGAUCGCAGGCUGCAACUCGCCUGCGUGAAGUCGGAGUUGCUAGUAACUGCUGGUCAGCACACAGCAGUGAAUACGUUCCCGGGCCUUGUA